rnacentral:misc_RNA from 1 species
GGAAGGAUCAUUAACGAAUCGUGUUUUGGUGGAUCAGCCAAAUACAUAAGUGCUCUCACCGUAAUGGAGAGGUGCAUCUAUAUAUAUUCAUAUAGUGUAUUAUUGUAUUUUGAUUUGGUGUGAUUAUAUAUAUGAUGUUUGAUAUCAAAUAUCAAAUAUCAAAUAUAGUCACGUAAAAUAUAAAACACUUUUAACAAUGGAUCUCUUGGCUCUUGCAUCGAUGAAGAACGCAGUAAUGUGCGAAAAGUAAUGCGAAUUGCAUACCUCUGCGAGUCAUCUAGUCUUUGAACGCAAAUGGCACUGCUACGACGAGUGGCAGUAUGUCUGUUUGAGAACCGCAAAACCCAUCACCACAUUAUGUGGUGGACGUGUCCCUUUUGUUGGAUGAUGUAUAUCAUUUGAAAAAGGGAUGAAAAUUAUAGUGUUGCGGGCACUCUUAGAGUAUGUGAUAAUCAUUCAUAUUCCAAGGGUGCUUUUGAGUGUUCAUAUCUGAUAUAUUAUCAUGUGUGAAACAUUCGCGCAAUACAUCAAUAUAAUAUAUACAUAUUAUAUACAUUAUCAUACGGUCUCAAAUCAGACAAGAUUACCCGCUGAACUUAAGCAUAUCAGUAAGCGGAGGAAAAGAAACUAACAAGGAUUCCCGUAGUAACUGCGAGUGAAGUGGGAAUAGCUCAAAUUUAAAAUCUGGUCCACUUGUGGAUCCGAAUUGUAGUCUAUAGAGGUGCUUUCUUGGGGAUGUGUGCGCACAAGUGUCCUGGAAUGGACCAUCACAGAGGGUGAGAAUCCCGUUUUGGUGCACAACAUCCACAUCUAUGAGGCACUCUCGAAGAGUCGAGUUGUUUGGGAAUGCAGCUCAAAUUGGGUGGUAAACUUCAUCCAAGGCUAAAUAUUGGCAAGAGACCGAUAGCGAACAAGUACCGUGAGGGAAAGAUGAAAAGCACCUUGAAAAGGGAGUGAAAUAGCGCGUGAAAUUGUUAAAAGGGAAACGAUUGAGGCCAGCAUUGUGUGUAUAUUUUGGGUGUGUUUUGUAUAGUGUUGAGAGCGAGAGCCUCACGUUAUACUGUAUACAUCCAAGAUGGCACGCGAGUCAGGGCCGCUUCGAAUUGCCUUAUAAUACUCUGGGAAGGUAGUCAUCACUUGUGAUGACCUUAUAGUCCAGAGGGAUGUGGUGAUUUGGAGCUGGUAGUGCAGCAAGUCUUUGCUUGUGUGUUGAGCGGGUGUCGACUGCUUGCAGACUAUACUCGAGCAACACAUAACAUCACUGACAACCAUGCACAGGCCUGACGGAAUGGUAUCAACCGACCCGUCUUGAAACACGGACCAAGGAGUCUAACAUGUAUGCGAGUGUUUGGGUGGCAAACCCGAGCGCGCAAUGAAAGUAACUAGUGUGGGACCAUUAAGAUGGGCACCACGGACCGAUCUUGAUAUCUCUUGAUAGACUCGAGUCAGAGCAUAAAUGUUGGGACCCGAAAGAUGGUGAACUAUGCCUGGAUAGGAUGAAGCCAGAGGAAACUCUGGUGGAGGUCCGCCGCCGUUCUGACGUGCAAAUCGAUGGUCAAAUUUGGGCAUAGGGGCGAAAGACUAAUCGAACCAUCUAGUAGCUGGUUCCCUC